AACAGAGAGAAAGCUGUCUGUUGACAUUCUAAUAAAAUAAUACUAUUAGGAAUGGGCUGUGUUUGUGGCAGAAGCAUCUUGAGGACAAACUGGCUGUUGACGAUGCAUCACGUUAUUUCAUAUUUGCCAUGAAACAGGAUGCAAAAGAGGUCAUAAGAAAGAAAACACUUGCAGCUUAUCUUCUGUGUCAGCUGGCUUGUUGGAAGCGAAGAUGGGGUGUGUUGUGUGAAAGUGGGAAUCCUGAAGCAGAAAGCGGUAGAGACUGCCAGCUCUGAAACCUGUAGAUAAGGAAGCGGGUGCUGCUGGCAUGCAUGCACAGUGGAUCCGGUCAGGAUCCUGGCAGUCGGAAUCCCUGCACUGCCCUGAAUGCCAACAACGGGAUCCCGACAUGGAUCACAAUGCGGUGCCGGAAUCCUGAACGCCGAGGUUCCAAACCAAGGACUGUCAGCAUUGAAUACAGCAAUGAAUGGACACAUUCUUAAAAACCAGCUAGUACCUGCCCGGUUGGAUGAUAACUUCAGAGACCAAUCAUUUAGGAAGGCAGCUUUAGUGCAGAGACACAGAGGCGCUUGUUUUUGUCUGAAAAGAACAUUAAUCUUUUUAGCAAAAAGACAACCUACCAAGACUACCGUGCUGGGAUUCACUGUUUGCCAUCACACAUAUUUGAAUAAGUCAUUAUUUUUUGCUAAAGUAUGUGGUUGAACUUUUAACAUCUUUUGAUGCCCUUCUAAAUUAUGUUAUUGAAUUAAUUUAAAUUAGUUCAAAUAAUGAUUUCUUUAUAAGUUUCAAUACUGUACAUUUACUAUAUGACAUUUGAAACAUCUAGUGAACCAUUGACCAUAUACCUACUUAAAUUUAAGCAUUAUGAAAUGUUUUCUAAAAAAAAAAUGUACAAGGGUAUGUGAAAAUAUUAGAAAUAAGGUUAAAGACUAUUCCAUUACCAAACAAUUCACCAACAUAAAUCGGACCUUUUUUUCCCUUUAAGGCCAUAAAGCAUGUUACACUGGUUAAAAGGGGAAGAGAUAUCCAGAAGAGCAUAACAUAAUUAUUCCGGUAUCCGGACUAUGGGUUGACACCAAUUAUGUUGACACCCAUUGGUCGACAGUGCCUAGGUCAACACUAGAAAUAGGUCAACACAGCCAUUUGGUUGACACGAACAAUGUUGACAUGAAAAAAGUCGACAUGAGUUUUUUUUUAAAAAAUGGGGGGGGACUUUUUCAUACUUUACGAUCCACGUGGACUACGAUUGGGAACAGUAAUCUGGCGGCAUGGUGAAGGGACGCAGUGCACUAAUUGGGGUUCCUGGUCACUUGAUGGAGAAAAUAACACAAAAAAACAUAAAACACUCACGUCAACCUUUUUUGAUGUCGACCUUGCUCAUGUCGACCUAUUUCUAGUGUCGACCUAGCCACUAUCACCCAAUAAGUGUCGACCUAAUUGGUGUCGACCUUGAGUCCCAUACCCAUUAUACAUACCCCAUAAGUUUAAAAAGAGCAGUUGGGAAAGGACCGUUAAUCCUUUAGUGCUUCUUCAAUUAGGCCAUAAGGGCUAUUUGGAGCUAUCUGAAAAACAGCGAACACAGAUUUUUAGACUGUAUCACACAGAAGAUAUAUGGCUUAUGAAAGAUUCAUGCACCAAAAGUGAUUCAUAGUGGGAUAAAAAAUACAUACCACAAUACAAUAAAUAUUGAGAUUGGGAAUUAACACGAGAGAUGACUUUGUAUCUUAAAUCCGAUUAGAUCGUACCUUGUAUAAUUAUAUUAUGCUCACACUAUUGUGAUAAUUGAAUUGACUAUUAAUAAGUCAAACUAACACUCAAUCAUUUUAGACUAAUAGAGUCAACACUAUAUAUUGCAUUGGAGGACUCUCACGCUAUACCAAAUGUGAGAAGCAAUUUAAACUGUAUCCUCAGUUUUGAUAUGUGUUAGAAAUAACACUUUAGAAACUUUUUCUUUUUUGCCCACUCUUUUCUAAUAAAAAGUACUGCACUUUAUGGGCACAAAAGGUCGGUACCACUUACCUCUAUAUUUAUUCUGGUUCCACCUAAUAGGAGAGGCCAAUGAGAAAGUCUCUUCUUCCAUAUAGGUUGGUGCCAGUAAUAUUUCUUUAAUCUUGAUCAUUUAGAUUUUCAUAUAUUCACUCUCACCCACUGUCUUUAUUAAUUUUUUCACCUGAAAGAUACCCCUGAAGAAGUCUGCUUUGGAUGAAACGUGUAGGGUUUAUCAAUCUUCAUGCACCAUCCAACUGUAAGAGCACCCACCCUAGAGCUCACACCUUUUGAAGGUGAGGGGGAAAAUUUGUGAACAUCUCUCUUACUUUGGCUCUUGUGAAAUUGUAUUGCAAAUCUGUUAUGUACAUACAUUGUAC